GACGAACGCUGGCGGCGCGCUUAACACAUGCAAGUCGAGCGAAGCGGCGGAAGGGUGAGUAACACGUGAGUAACCUGCCUUAGACAUUGGGAUAGCCUCGGGAAACAGGGAUUAAUACCAAAUGGUCUAAGAUGGACUCGCGUCCCAUUAGUAAGUUGGUGAGGUAACGGCCCACCAAGGCGACGAUGGGUAGCCGGCCGCAGAGGGUGAACGCCGACAUUGGAGCUGAGAAACGGUCCAAACUCUACGGGAGGGAGGAGUGGGGAAUAUAGCACAGUGGAGGGAACUCUGAUGCAGUGAGGGCGGGUGAACGAAGAAGGCGAGGGAGUAGUAAAGGUCUUUUAUAUGGGAAGCGGUACCAUAAGAAAAAGCCCCGGCUAACUACGUGCCAGCAGCCGCGGUAAUAC
rnacentral:rRNA from 1 species